AAAUUGAAGAGUUUGAUCAUGGCUCAGAUUGAACGCUGGCGGCAGGCCUAACACAUGCAAGUCGAACGGUAGCACAGAGGAGCUUGCUCCUCGGGUGACGAGUGGCGGACGGGUGAGUAAUGUCUGGGAAACUGCCCGAUGGAGGGGGAUAACUACUGGAAACGGUAGCUAAUACCGCAUAACGUCGCAAGACCAAAGAGGGGGACCUUCGGGCCUCUUGUCAUCGGA
rnacentral:rRNA from 1 species